GUUAAUAAGUGGCUACUAAUAAAGACUGGACAUACCCAGUUUGCAAUACACCUUGGGUUGUCUACUAUUGCAAAUGGUAUGCCAUCAGGGGGCUAAUUCUCAUUCCUGGGCUACCAUACACUCUCAAAGGCAACGUAACCAAUCUUGCGAAUUUCAACGUGAAAAAAAAUGAAAAAUUUAACAUGCUAUAUUUGACCAUGUAACUUCCCAAAACACCAUAAAACCUGUACAUAAGGGGUACCCCGUUUUACACGUGAGACAUCACUGAACACAAAUGUGUAUUUUAUUACAGCAAAAGCAAACCGUAUUAUGACAGAAUGUCAUGCAGAACUAAAAAAUUUUGUAAAAAUCCUUAAUUUCUCUCAUUUUUAUAUUUUAUUCAUAUUAAAUUGUGUUUCAUCGCUAAAUAUUUGAUAAAUGAAAGCAGUUUCCCCUGAAUCAAAUUAUUUAUAAUAAGUGUGGGUGCACUUAAUACGAAAGGUUAAUUACGGUUGAAC